GUCAUGACAACGUUCAUUAUAACGUCAUUCCUGACGAUAUAAGAGAGUGUGAGGCAACAUCGUACACCUCACUCCAGAUGACAGCAAAUCAUAUGUACACUGCAUUGACCGUUAGGCAAGAGAAUAAUGAGUACGCAGCUGUCGAAGUUCCGGACAGCGACGGUCAAGGGCAGACACAUACCGAUUCCGAAGCCGAAGUUUAUUAUUCUGUUGUUCAUUAAGAGGUUGGAACGAACUACGCUUGAAAUAUCCAACUUUCCAGGACUGAAUCCAUUGCAGCUCACUCCCUACGACAGCGAACCAUCCUUUUAAAAUUAAAAAAGAGGAACCGGAAAUUGAUCACAUAACGGAAAUACGUCACUAAGGUAUUGCCUAAAUGAUACCGCACGUUAAUAGUCAUGAUAUGUAGGCUACCUACUCUGACGUCAAACAUAUACAUUGUAACAAAAGUGAACAUGAACAUAGUGUACUCG